GAUGAACGCUAGCGGGAGGCUUAACACAUGCAAGCCGAGGGGUAUUCAGUUGCUUGCAACUGAAGAGACCGGCGCACGGGUGAGUAACGCGUAUGUAACUUGCCUCAUUCAACGGGAUAGCCCGGGGAAACCCGGAUUAAUAUCGUAUAACAGCCGGACAGGCAUCUGUUUGGUUUGAAAGAUUCAUCGGAAUGAGAUAGACAUGCGUAUGAUUAGUUAGUUGGCGGGGUAACGGCCCACCAAGACGAUGAUCAUUAGGGGUCCUGAGAGGGUGAUCCCCCACACUGGUACUGAGACACGGACCAGACUCCUACGGGAGGCAGCAGUGAGGAAUAUUGGACAAUGGGUGAGAGCCUGAUCCAGCCAUCCCGCGUGCAGGAAGACGGCCUUAUGGGUUGUAAACUGCUUUUAUACAGGAAUAAACCAUCUUACGAGUAGGGUGUUGAAGGUACUGUAUGAAUAAGCACNGGCNNANNCNGNNNCAGNNNNNNNNGNNNNACGGNGGGNNNAAGCNGUUNAUCCNGGAUUUNAUUNGGGUUUAAANGGGUCCNGCNAGGNCNGGGUNCUGUAAGUCNAGGGGNUGAAANUCCNAGCAGCNUUAACUGUCGAACUGCCNUUUGAUACUGCAGGUCUUGAGUGGGAAUGAAGCAGCUGGAAUGUGUGGUGUAGCGGUGAAAUGCAUAGAUAUCACACAGAACACCGAUAGCGAAGGCAGGUUGCUAAUUCUCAACUGACGCUGAGGGACGAAAGCGUGGGGAGCGAACAGGAUUAGAUACCCUGGUAGUCCACGCCNGUAAACGAUGGAUACUGUCUGUUGGUUCGUAAGGAUCAGUGGNAUAAGCGAAAGUGAUAAGUAUCCCNACCUGGGGAGUACGUUCGCAAGAAUGAAACUCAAAGGAAUUGACGGGGGCCCGCACAAGCNGGUGGAGCAUGUGGUUUAAUUCNGAUGAUACGCNGAGGNAANCCUUNACCNNAAGGCUUAAAUGUAUAAUGACAGGGGUGGAAACACCUUUUUCUUCGGACAGUAUGCAAGGUGCUGCAUGGCUGUCGUCAGCUCGUGCCGUGAGGUGUCAGGUUAAGUCCUAUAACGAGCGCAACCCUUAUCGCUAGUUGCCAGCGUUUCAAGACGGGGACUCUAGCGAGACUGCCAACGCAAGUUGCGAGGAAGGUGGGGACGACGUCAAGUCAUCACGGCCCUUACGUCUUGGGCGACACACGUGCUACAAUGGCCGGUACAGAGGGCAGCUACCACGCGAGUGGAUGCGAAUCUCGAAAACCGGUCUCAGUUCGGAUUGGAGUCUGCAACUCGACUCUAUGAAGCUGGAAUCGCUAGUAAUCGCAUAUCAGCCAUGUUGCGGUGAAUACGUUCCCGGGCCUUGUACACACCGCCCGUCAAGCCAUGGAAGCCGGGGGUACCUGAAGUCGGUGACCGUCAAAGGAGCUGCCUAGGGUAAAACUGGUAACUAGGGCU
rnacentral:rRNA from 1 species